rnacentral:rRNA from 1 species
UCAGAUUGAACGCUGGCGGCAUGCCUAACACAUGCAAGUCGAACGGCAGCACAGAGGAGCUUGCUCCUUGGGUGGCGAGUGGCGGACGGGUGAGUAAUGCAUCGGGACCUACCCAGACGUGGGGGAUAACGUAGGGAAACUUACGCUAAUACCGCAUACGUCCUACGGGAGAAAGCAGGGGACCUUCGGGCCUUGCGCGGUUGGACGGACCGAUGUGCGAUUAGCUAGUUGGUAGGGUAAUGGCCUACCAAGGCGACGAUCGCUAGCUGGUCUGAGAGGAUGAUCAGCCACACUGGGACUGAGACACGGCCCAGACUCCUACGGGAGGCAGCAGUGGGGAAUAUUGGACAAUGGGCGCAAGCCUGAUCCAGCAAUGCCGCGUGUGUGAAGAAGGCCUUCGGGUUGUAAAGCACUUUUAUCAGGAACGAAAUACCACGGGUUAAUACCCUAUGGGGCUGACGGUA